rnacentral:rRNA from 1 species
GAUGAACGCUGGCGGCGUGCCUCAAACAUGCAAGUCGAGCGGGGCUAUGUAAUAUCGCAAGGUAGAACAUAGCCUAGCGGCGAACGGGUGAGUAACACGUGGGUAACCUGCCUGGAAGACAGGGAUAACGAUUCGAAAGGGUCGCUAAUACCUGAUAAUAUCCUUUCAUCGCAUGGUGAUAGGAAGAAAGGGGAAACCCGCUUUCAGAUGGGCCCGCGUCCCAUCAGCUAGUUGGUAAGGUAAAGGCUUACCAAGGCGACGACGGGUAGCCGGUCUGAGAGGAUGUACGGCCACACUGGGACUGAGAUACGGCCCAGACUCCUACGGGAGGCAGCAGUGGGGGAUUUUGGACAAUGGGCGAAAGCCUGAUCCAGCGACGCCGCGUGGAGGACGAAGCCCUUCGGGGUGUAAACGUCCUUUUCUCUAGGGAAAAGGAUGAUGGUACCUGAGGAAUAAGCCCCGGCUAACUACGUGCCAGCAGCCGCGGUAAAGUACUCUAU